AAUGAACUACAUCUACAACAUUUGAGAUGCUAAAUUUUCAAGCAAAAUUUAUAUUCAAAAGCAAGAACAAAGGUUGUAACAUUUACAACAUUUAAAUAACAAAUCAUGAAAAUCACAAAACCCAAAAGGAUUCACCAUAAACUAGACCUAGGCUCUGAUACCACUUGAAGGAUAAAUUUUGUCCUAGCUAAGAACAUGUGAGAAUAUUUGAACACAUAUGCAAACUAUUAACACAUUAAAGUAGGCAUGCAUUCAAAAACAAUUCUAAAACCCAUGACUUUCAAAGCCUAGUGAAUGGUGAACCAAGAGACUCUUUAACAACAUUAAAGAGAAAGAAGGUUUUAGAGAUUCAUUACCCUUGAAGCUCAUCCUUGUUUACACAAGGGAUUCACCCAAGUGGAGGGCCUUCAAGUCACCUCCUAGCUCCUUGGAUCUUCCUUGUGAUUUCCUUCCUUUUGAUGCUCCUUUACUCCUUGAGGAUGUGAGGAAAGGAUCUCCAAAAACACCAAAGAUUUGGUGUUUCUAAGUCUCCACACCAAGGAUGAAGUGUGAAGAUAAAAUGGAUGACUUAGAGAAGAAAAGAUUGCUAGCUAAAUCCUCUCUAAGUGGCCGGCCUCAUUGUAGAGAAAAAGAGAGAAAGUGUUUCACCUCUUUGCCUCAAGAAAACCCUAAUGAGAAAAUAGCUAUAAAGUUAACUUUAUACUACAUCACAUUUGAGUGGCAAUCUUGUAAUUAAUUCAAGUUUGCAUCCACUCACCCUUAUGGCCGGCCUUGUCUUUGUUAUUGGGCUAAUUGCCCAUUUUGUUUUAGUUGCCAUACAACUUAAACAUAAUGGGCUUUGUGGGCCAAAACACUUUUGGGCCCCGAAACCCAAAACCAACUUAAAAGCCCAAUACGAACCUUUCGUAAAAUUAAUUAACUAAUUAAUUAAUCUUGACCAUUCUCAAUUAAACAAUUUAAUUGCUUAUCCAUCUCAUUUAUAUUUCUUCACUUUCAUCCUUACUUGGUGUAUGAUCCAUUAGGUUCCAAUUAGUGAGGCAAUGGGCGAUUGUUACUCUUAACGAUCGAUUGUGAAUUGAAACAACAUUUCAAUUCUCACUUUGUUGAAGAUUAGUGUUUGCUAAUCUUCAGGGCUUCCACAAACCAUGAGUAACACCUAGCAGAAUGUCAUGGCUACCCAAGCUAAAUAGAAUUGGUUGGAGAACCUAUCCAGUUACAAUUUCAAUGCAAUACGGUCCGUCUCUAAUACAAUACUCCUAAUCACAUUGUUUGAGUGAUAGUUUGUUUCAUGUCUACUAUCCAAUGUAAUACUUAUCUAUAUGAUUCAAUUGAAUAUGAUUUGGAACAUACUUCCUAAGUCAUAUUCGUAUGCUUUAGCCAAAGACUCCCGAAUCAUAUCUUAGAGUAUUCUCCUUCCACUAUGGAACGUUAGAGAUCCCUUGUUGUGCAUUCAUAUGCCUACAUGACUAGAUAGCUUGACCCCAACAAUGCCGUGGACA
rnacentral:lncRNA from 1 species